rnacentral:rRNA from 1 species
CCUACGGGAGGCAGCAGUGGGGAAUAUUGGGCAAUGGGCGCAAGCCUGACCCAGCAAUGCCGCGUGAAGGCAGAAGGCUUUCGGGUUGUAAACUUCUUUGACAGGGGAAGAGCAGAAGACGGUACCCUGAAAACAAGCCACGGCUAACUACGUGCCAGCAGCCGCGGUAAUACGUAGGUGGCAAGCGUUGUCCGGAUUUACUGGGUGUAAAGGUCAUGUAGCCGGGAAUGCAAGUCAGAUGUGAAAUCUGGAGGCUCAACCUCCUAAGUGCAUUUGAAACUGUUUUUCUUGAGUACUGGAGAGGCAGAUGGAAUUCCUGGUGUAGCGGUGAAAUGCGUAGAUAUAAGGAGGAACACCAGUGGCGAAGGCGGUCUGCUGGCCAGUAACUGACGGUGAGGCGCGAAAGCGUGGGGAGCAAACAGGAUUAGAUACCCUUGUAGUC